GAUGAACGCUAGCGAUAGGCUUAACACAUGCAAGUCGAGGGGCAGCACAAGGUAGCUUGCUAUCUGGGUGGCGACCGGCGCACGGGUGCGUAACGCGUAUGCAACUUGCCCUAUACAGGAGGAUAACCCGUCGAAAGACGGACUAAUACUGCGUAUGCUCACAACUUGGCAUCAAGUGGUGAGGAAAGAAAUUCGGUAUAGGAUAGGCAUGCGUCCCAUUAGCUUGUUGGUGAGGUAACGGCACACCAAGGCAACGAUGGGUAGGGGAACUGAGAGGUUUAUCCCCCACACUGGUACUGAGACACGGACCAGACUCCUACGGGAGGCAGCAGUGAGGAAUAUUGGUCAAUGGGCGCGAGCCUGAACCAGCCAAGUCGCGUGAAGGAGGACUGUCUUAUGGAUUGUAAACUUCUUUUAGACGGGAAUAACAAGAGUCACGGGUGACUCCCUGCAUGUACCGUAUGAAUAAGCAUCGGCUAACUCCGUG
rnacentral:rRNA from 1 species